CCUACGGGUGGCAGCAGUGGGGAAUAUUGGGCAAUGGGCGCAAGCCUGACCCAGCAACGCCGCGUGAAGGAAGAAGGCUUUCGGGUUGUAAACUUCUUUUCUGAGGGACGAAGAUGGUGACGGUACCUCAGGAAUAAGCCGCGGCUAACUACGUGCCAGCCGCCGCGGUAAUACGUAGGUGGCAAGCGUUAUCCGGAUUUAUUGGGUGUAAGGGGCGUGUAGGCGGGACAGCAAGUCAGAUGUGAAAACUCAGGGCUCAACCCUGGGCCUGCAUUUGAAACUGUUGUUCUUGAGUGCUGGAGAGGCAAGCGGAAUUCCGUGUGUAGCGGUGAAAUGCGUAGAUAUACGGAGGAACACCAGUGGCGAAGGCGGAUUGCUGGACCGUAACUGACGCUGAGGCGCGAAAGCGUGGGGAGCAAACAGGAUUAGAUACCCGAGUAGUC
rnacentral:rRNA from 1 species